UACGGGGGGGGGGCAAGCGUUGUUCGGAAUUACUGGGCGUAAAGGGCGCGUAGGCGGUUCGCUAAGUCGGAUGUGAAAACUCUGGGCUCAACCCAGAGCCUGCAUCCCGAAACUGGCGGGCUAGAGUUCUGGAGGGGGUAGCGGAAUUCCUGGUGUAGCGGUGAAAUGCGUAGAUAUCAGGAGGAACACCGGUGGCGAAGGCGGCUACCUGGACAGAAACUGACGUGAGGCGCGAAAGCUAGGGGAGCAAACAGG
rnacentral:rRNA from 1 species